GAGAGAAAGCCGAGAUAUCAGGCAGAGUUCCAGGGAGACAUGCAUGAAGCACACAACAAAUAUUGUGUGGACAGGGAUUGAGCCUGAUGGAGUUAAAAGGGCAAUCUUUUGUGUGAUUGGCCAGGAUGACGAGUUUUCAACAUUUGACUUUCCAUCCUAAACUUGAACAUCACAAUAUUAACCUCACCUGCAGAGUCAUUUUUCAAGAAAACAUCCAGACUGAAAGUACUGUCAUCCUCAAAGACGUAUGUAUCAUUUCACUUACAGUAUAACACAUCAAUAUUACUACUAAAAAUGUAAAUAGUAAAACACUGGUCAUUUCGGUGCUAGAAAUGUUUGUGUUAGAUUAGUGAGUUUACUGUUAAGCAUUGGUGAUGUAAUCCAAAUAUUGUGCAAUAACGUUGAGCAACGAUGAGUUGCUGAAAUUAGAAACGGAUGAAGAGCAAGGAAAACGCAACCAAUCUUAUCAGAAUAAAAACUACUGUCACAUCAGGGUUUUUGAGCUCUUCAAAUAGUGGGUAAGCAAUUUAUUUCAACAUCUCUCAUUAACGGUUUUAUAAAUACAAAUCGUGUUUAUAUUUCUCCUUCCUCAAAAGUGUAAACAUCUAUCAAAGUAGAAGACAACAUCACUGGAGAGGACGGUUUGUGCAUCAUAGUGUUCUGUGUUGUCACUAUCCCUGAAAGUGUCUCAGAUCCCAUUAGGACAACCUGGUUCAAAGGAGAUCCACAAAACCUGUCUGUUGAAGUUUCUAAUUUUAAGAGAAAUAUUGGAUUUCCUCAAAAUGAGAAAGAGUGCAGCUUUUCGCUAAACCACUUGGUUCAGGGCAAAUCUGAUGGUGAAUACAGAUUAAAACUGGAGUGGGGAGAAGGAAACAUGUAUAUCUUUCCUCAGACAGUAAAUAUUACUGUUAAAGAGCUUACCCAGAAACCAACAAUAAACGUCCCACUGCUCACAGCGGGAGAGAAGGCCGAGAUAUCAUGUAAAGUUCCAGGGGACUGCUUACUACCCUUAGCAGAUAUUGUGUGGACAGGCAUUAGGCCUAAUAAUACUAGACUUGGAGCUCGUGGAGUGCCUGGCAGGAGUGAGCACUUUUCUAUAAUGACUUUUUAUCCUAAGCCUGAACAUCACAAUACUGAGCUCACCUGCACAGUGACACUUCAAGGACGUAUUCGGACUGAAAGUACUGUCAUCCUCAAAGUAAGACAUUCCCCAGUAAUCCUGAACAGCUCUCGUUGUUUUGUGUGGGGUGAUGAACUGAGAUGCAUGUGUGUCAGCAGUGCUGUGCCGUCACCCCAGAUAUCCUGGCCAGUAUUGAAAGAUAGCACUAAACACAGCAGUGCUGUUUCAGUAGAGGAGAACAUCAGCAUUAGCAACAUCUCCAUUCCUGGAUUUAGUAAAGUCAGCGCUACCGUUGAAUGUGUCAGUGAGAAUCUCAUUGGUGCGACAAAGAUGGAACUCCAAGUGCACAAUCAUGCUGAAAGACCCCAAGAAAUAAGUUACAGUUUGUCAACCCCUUGGAUAUUAUUUACCCUUUCAUUUGUUCUAAAUGUCAUCUUUGCUUCCUGUUUGAUUGUCAUCGUUGUACGGAGGAGAGAAAAAUGUAUGAAACCAGUAGAUGACAACCAUGUCUACAUGACUGCAAUGAAGAGAGAGGAAUCUGUGUAUGAGACUAUCAAAAUGUCAUGA
rnacentral:lncRNA from 1 species